CCUACGGGAGGCAGCAGUGGGGAAUAUUGGACAAUGGGCGAAAGCCUGAUCCAGCAAUGCCGCGUGUGUGAAGAAGGCCUUCGGGUUGUAAAGCACUUUUGUCCGGAAAGAAAUCCUUGGCUCUAAUACAGUCGGGGGAUGACGGUACCGGAAGAAUAAGCACCGGCUAACUACGUGCCAGCAGCCGCGG
rnacentral:rRNA from 1 species